UCACCAGUCUAGUGGGCCAAUGUAAUGUCUGGAGGGCAGUCACCAGUCUAGUGGGUCAAUGUAAUGUCUGGGGGCAGUCACCAGUCUAGUGGGUCAAUGUAAUGUCUGGAGGGCAGUCACCAGUCUAGUGGGUCAAUGUAAUGUCUGGAGGGCAGUCACCAGUCUAGUGGGUCAAUGUAAUGUCUGGAGGGCAGUCACCAGUCUAGUGGGUCAAUGUAAUGUCUGGAGGGCAGUCACCAGUCUAGUGGGUCAAUGUAAUGUCUGGAGGGCAGUCACCAGUCUAGUGGGUCAAUGUAAUGUCUGGAGGGCAGUCACCAGUCUAGUGGGUCAAUGUAAUGUCUGGAGGGCAGUCACCGGUCUAGUGGGCCAAUGUAAUGUCUGGAGUCUGGAGGACAGUCACCAGUCUAGUGGGCCAAUGUAAUGUCUGGAGGGCAGUCACCAGUCUAGUGGGUCAAUGUAAUGUCUGGGGGCAGUCACCAGUCUAGUGGGUCAAUGUAAUGUCUGGAGGGCAGUCACCAGUCUAGUGGGUCAAUGUAAUGUCUGGAGGGCAGUCACCAGUCUAGUGGGUCAAUGUAAUGUCUGGAGGGCAGUCACCGGUCUAGUGGGCCAAUGUAAUGUCUGGAGUCUGGAGGACAGUCACCAGUCUAGUGGGCCAAUGUAAUGUCUGGAGGGCAGUCACCAGUCUAGUGGGUCAAUGUAAUGUCUGGGGGCAGUCACCAGUCUAGUGGGUCAAUGUAAUGUCUGGAGGGCAGUCACCAGUCUAGUGGGUCAAUGUAAUGUCUGGAGGGCAGUCACCAGUCUAGUGGGUCAAUGUAAUGUCUGGAGGGCAGUCAACAGUCUAGUGGGUAAAUGUAAUGUCUGGAGGGCAGUCACCGGUCUAGUGGGCCAAUGUAAUGUCUGGAGGGCAGUCACCAGUCUAGUGGGUCAAUGUAAUGUCUGGAGGGCAGUCACCAGUCUCGUGGGUCAAUGUAAUGUCUGGAGGGCAGUCACCAGUCUAGUGGGUCAAUGUAAUGUCUGGAGUCUGGAGGGCAGUCAUAAGUCUAGUGGGCCAAUGUAAUGUCUGGAGGGCAGUCACCAGUCUAGUGGGUCAAUGUAAUGUCUGGAGGGCAGUCACCAGUCUAGUGGGUCAAUGUAUUGUCUGGAGGGCAGUCACCAGUCUAGUGGGUCAAUGUAAUGUCUGGAGGGCAGUCACCAGUCUAGUGGGUCAAUGUAAUGUCUGGAGGGCAGUCACCAGUCUAGUGGGUCAAUGUAAUGUCUGGAGGGCAGUCACCAGUCUAGUGGGUCAAUGUAAUGUCUGGAGGGCAGUCACCGGUCUAGUGGGCCAAUGUAAUGUCUGGAGUCUGGAGGACAGUCACCAGUCUAGUGGGUCAAUGUAUUGUCUGGAGGGCAGUCACCAGUCUAGUGGGUCCAUGUAAUGUCUGGAGUCUGGAGGACAGUCACCAGUCUAGUGGGUCAAUGUAAUGGCUGGAGGGCAGUCACCAGUUCAGUGGGCCAAUGUAAUGUCUGGAGGGCAGUCACCAGUCUAGUGGGUCAAUGUAAUGUCUGGAGGGCAGUCACCAGUCUAGUGGGUCAAUGUAAUGUCUGGAGGGCAUUCACCAGUCUAGUGGGUCAAUGUAAUGUCUGGAGGGCAGUCACCAGUCUAGUGGGUCAAUGUAUUGUCUGGAGGGCAGUCACCAGUCUAGUGGGUCAAUGUAAUGUCUGGAGGGCAGUCACCAGUCUAGUGGGUCAAUGUAAUGUCUGGAGGGCAGUCACCAGUCUAGUGGGUCAAUGUAAUGUCUGGAGGGCAGUCACCAGUCUAGUGUGUCAAUGUAAUGUCUGGAGGGCAGUCACCGGUCUAGUGGGCCAAUGUAAUGUCUGGAGGGCAGUCACCAGUCUAGUGGGUCAAUGUAAUGUCUGGAGGGCAGUCACCAGUCUAGUGGGUCAAUGUAAUGUCUGGAGGGCAGUCACCAGUCUAGUGGGCCAAUGUAAUGUCUGGAGGACAGUCACCAGUCGAGUGGGUCAAUGUAAUGUCUGGAGGGCAGUCAACAGUCUAGUGGGUAAAUGUAAUGUCUGGAGGGCAGUCACCGGUCUAGUGGGCCAAUGUAAUGUCUGGAGGGCAGUCACCAGUCUAGUGGGUCAAUGUAAUGUCUGGAGGGCAGUCACCAGUCUCGUGGGUCAAUGUAAUGUCUGGAGGGCAGUCACCAGUCUAGUGGGUCAAUGUAAUGUCUGGAGUCUGGAGGGCAGUCACAAGUCUAGUGGGCCAAUGUAAUGUCUGGAGGGCAGUCACCAGUCUAGUGGGUCAAUGUAAUGUCUGGAGGGCAGUCACCAGUCUAGUGGGUCAAUGUAAUGUCUGGAGGGCAGUCACCAGUCUAGUGGGCCAAUGUAAUGUCUGGAGGGCAGUCACCAGUCUAGUGGGCCAAUGUAAUGUCUGGAGGACAGUCACCAGUCUAGUGGGCCAAUGUAAUGUCUGGAGGGCAGUCACCAGUCUAGUGGGUCAAUGUAAUGUCUGGAGGGCAGUCACAAGUCUAGUGGGUCAAUGUAAUGUCUGGAGGGCAUUCACCAGUCUAGUGGGUCAAUGUAAUGUCUGGAGGGCAGUCACAAGUCUAGUGGGUCAAUGUAAUGUCUGGAGUCUGGAGGGCUACUAGACUGGACAUAGUGUGCAUCAGUUUAAAAGUGUUGUCAUCCAGCUAACACUUUUUUGAGAGCAGAUCCCUCUGGUGUGGGUAGAAUCCUCUCUCUAAUCUCUCUGGUGUAGGUAGAAUCCUCUCUCUAAUCUCUCUGGUGUAGGUAGAAUCCUCUCUCUAAUCUCUCUGGUGUAGAUAGAAUCCUCUCUCUAAUCUCUCUGGUGUAGGUAGAAUGCUCUCUCUAAUCCCUCUGGUGUAGGUAGAAUCCUCUCUCUAAUCUCUCUGGUGUAGGUAGAAUCCUCUCUCUCUGGUGUAGGUAGAAUACUCUCUCUAAUCUCUCUGGUGUAGGUAGAAUACUCUCUCAGUGUAGGUAGAAUCCUCUCUCUCUGGUGUAGGUAGAAUCCUCUCUCUAAUCUCUCUGGUGUGGGUAGAAUCCUCUCUAAUCUCUCUGGUGUAGGUAGAAUACUCUCUCUAAUCUCUCUGGUGUAGGUAGAAUACUCUCUCUAAUCUCUCCGGUGUAGGUAGAAUACUCUCUCUAAUCUCUCCGGUGUAGGUAGAAUACUCUCUCUAAUCUCUCUGGUGUAGGUAGAAUCCUCUCUCUAAUCUCUCUGGUGUAGGUAGAAUCCUCUCUCUAAUCUCUCUGGUGUAGGUAGAAUCCUCUCUCUAAUCUCUCUGGUGUAGAUAGAAUCCUCUCUCUAAUCUCUCUGGUGUAGGUAGAAUACUCUCUCUAAUCUCUCUGGUGUAGGUAGAAUCCUCUCUCUAAUCUCUCUGGUGUAGGUAGAAUCCUCUCUCUCUGGUGUAGGUAGAAUACUCUCUCUAAUCUCUCUGGUGUAGGUAGAAUACUCUCUCAGUGUAGGUAGAAUCCUCUCUCUGGUGUAGGUAGAAUCCUCUCUCUGGUGUAGGUAGAAUCCUCUCUCUAAUCUCUCUGGUGUAGGUAGAAUCCUCUCUCUCUGGUGUAGGUAGAAUACUCUCUCUAAUCUCUCUGGUGUAGGUAGAAUACUCUCUCAGUGUAGGUAGAAUCCUCUCUCUCUGGUGUAGGUAGAAUCCUCUCUCUAAUCUCUCUGGUGUGGGUAGAAUCCUCUCUAAUCUCUCUGGUGUAGGUAGAAUACUCUCUCUAAUCUCUCUGGUGUAGGUAGAAUACUCUCUCUAAUCUCUCCGGUGUAGGUAGAAUACUCUCUCUAAUCUCUCCGGUGUAGGUAGAAUACUCUCUCUAAUCUCUCUGGUGUAGGUAGAAUCCUCUCUCUAAUCUCUCUGGUGUAGGUAGAAUCCUCUCUCUAAUCUCUCUGGUGUAGGUAGAAUCCUCUCUCUAAUCUCUCUGGUGUAGGUAGAAUCCUCUCUCUCUGGUGUAGGUAGAAUACUCUCUCAGUGUAGGUAGAAUCCUCUCUCUCUGGUGUAGGUAGAAUCCUCUCUCUAAUCUCUCUGGUGUAGGUAGAAUACUCUCUCUCUCUGGUAUAGGUAGAAUCCUCUCUCUAAUCUCUCUGGUGUAGGUAGAAUACUCUCUCUCUGGUGUAGGUAGAAUCCUCUCUCUGGUGUAGGUAGAAUCCUCUCUCUAAUCUCUCUGGUGUAGGUAGAAUCCUCUCUCUCUGGUGUAGGUAGAAUACUCUCUCUAAUCUCUCUGGUGUAGGUAGAAUACUCUCUCAGUGUAGGUAGAAUCCUCUCUCUGGUGUAGGUAGAAUCCUCUCUCUGGUGUAGGUAGAAUCCUCUCUCUAAUCUCUCUGGUGUAGGUAGAAUACUCUCUCUCUCUGGUGUAGGUAGAAUCCUCUCUCUCUGGUGUAGGUAGAAUACUCUCUCUAAUCUCUCUGGUGUAGGUAGAAUCCUCUCUCUAAUCUCUCUGGUGUAGGUAGAAUCCUCUCUCUAAUCUCUCUGGUGUAGGUAGAAUCCUCUCUCUAAUCUCUCCGGUGUAGGUAGAAUACUCUCUCUAAUCUCUCUGGUGUAGGUAUAAUACUCUCUCUAAUCUCUCUGGUGUAGGUAGAAUACUCUCUCUAAUCUCUCUGGUGUAGGUAGAAUCCUCUCUCUAAUCUCUCUGGUGUAGGUAGAAUCCUCUCUCUCUGGUGUAGGUAGAAUACUCUCUCUAAUCUCUCUGGUGUAGGUAGAAUACUCUCUCAGUGUAGGUAGAAUCCUCUCUCUCUGGUGUAGGUAGAAUCCUCUCUCUAAUCUCUCUGGUGUGGGUAGAAUCCUCUCUAAUCUCUCUGGUGUAGGUAGAAUACUCUCUCUAAUCUCUCUGGUGUAGGUAGAAUACUCUCUCAGUGUAGGUAGAAUCCUCUCUCUCUGGUGUAGGUAGAAUCCUCUCUCUAAUCUCUCUGGUGUGGGUAGAAUCCUCUCUAAUCUCUCUGGUGUAGGUAGAAUACUCUCUCUAAUCUCUCUGGUGUAGGUAGAAUACUCUCUCUAAUCUCUCCGGUGUAGGUAGAAUACUCUCUCUAAUCUCUCCGGUGUAGGUAGAAUACUCUCUCUAAUCUCUCUGGUGUAGGUAGAAUCCUCUCUCUAAUCUCUCUGGUGUAGGUAGAAUCCUCUCUCUCUGGUGUAGGUAGAAUACUCUCUCUAAUCUCUCUGGUGUAGGUAGAAUACUCUCUCAGUGUAGGUAGAAUCCUCUCUCUCUGGUGUAGGUAGAAUCCUCUCUCUAAUCUCUCUGGUGUAGGUAGAAUACUCUCUCUCUCUGGUGUAGGUAGAAGCCUCUCUCUGGUGUAGGUAGAAUCCUCUCUCUAAUCUCUCUGGUGUAGGUAGAAUCCUCUCUCUCUGGUGUAGGUAGAAUACUCUCUCUAAUCUCUCUGGUGUAGGUAGAAUACUCUCUCAGUGUAGGUAGAAUCCUCUCUCUGGUGUAGGUAGAAUCCUCUCUCUGGUGUAGGUAGAAUCCUCUCUCUAAUCUCUCUGGUGUAGGUAGAAUACUCUCUCUCUCUGGUGUAGGUAGAAUCCUCUCUCUCUGGUGUAGGUAGAAUACUCUCUCUAAUCUCUCUGGUGUGGGUAGAAUCCUCUCUAAUCUCUCUGGUGUAGGUAGAAUACUCUCUCUAAUCUCUCUGGUGUAGGUAGAAUACUCUCUCUAAUCUCUCCGGUGUAGGUAGAAUACUCUCUCUAAUCUCUCCGGUGUAGGUAGAAUACUCUCUCUAAUCUCUCUGGUGUAGGUAGAAUCCUCUCUCUAAUCUCUCUGGUGUAGGUAGAAUCCUCUCUCUAAUCUCUCUGGUGUAGGUAGAAUCCUCUCUCUAAUCUCUCCGGUGUAGGUAGAAUCCUCUCUCUAAUCUCUCUGGUGUAGGUAGAAUACUCUCUCUAAUCUCUCUGGUGUAGGUAGAAUCCUCUCUCUAAUCUCUCUGGUGUAGGUAGAAUCCUGUCUCUCUGGUGUAGGUAGAAUACUCUCUCUAAUCUCUCUGGUGUAGGUAGAAUACUCUCUCAGUGUAGGUAGAAUCCUCUCUCUCUGGUGUAGGUAGAAUCCUCUCUCUAAUCUCUCUGGUGUAGGUAGAAUACUCUCUCUCUCUGGUGUAGGUAGAAUCCUCUCUCUGGUGUAGGUAGAAUCCUCUCUCUAAUCUCUCUGGUGUAGGUAGAAUCCUCUCUCUCUGGUGUAGGUAGAAUACUCUCUCUAAUCUCUCUGGUGUAGGUAGAAUACUCUCUCAGUGUAGGUAGAAUACUCUCUCAGUGUAGGUAGAAUCCUCUCUCUGGUGUAGGUAGAAUCCUCUCUCUGGUGUAGGUAGAAUCCUCUCUCUAAUCUCUCUGGUGUAGGUAGAAUACUCUCUCUCUGGUGUAGGUAGAAUACUCUCUCUCUGGUGUAGGUAGAAUACUCUCUCUAAUCUCUCUGGUGUAGGUAGAAUACUCUCUCUAAUCUCUCUGGUGUAGGUAGAAUACUCUCUCUCUGGUGUAGGUAGAAUACUCUCUCUAAUCUCUCCGGUGUAGGUAGAAUCCUCUCUCUAAUCUCUCUGGUGUAGGUAGAAUACUCUCUCUAAUCUCUCCGGUGUAGGUAGAAUUUCUCUCUAAUCUCUCUGGUGUAGGUAGAAUCCUCUCUCUAAUCUCUCUGGUGUAGGUAGAAUCCUCUCUCUAAUCUCUCUGGUGUAGGUAGAAUCCUCUCUCUAAUCUCUCCGGUGUAGGUAGAAUACUCUCUCUAAUCUCUCUGGUGUAGGUAGAAUACUCUCUCUAAUCUCUCUGGUGUAGGUAGAAUCCUCUCUCUAAUCUCUCUGGUGUAGGUAGAAUCCUCUCUCUAAUCUCUCUGGUGUAGGUAGAAUCCUCUCUCUCUGGUGUAGGUAGAAUACUCUCUCUAAUCUCUCUGGUGUAGGUAGAAUACUCUCUCAGUGUAGGUAGAAUCCUCUCUCUCUGGUGUAGGUAGAAUCCUCUCUCUAAUCUCUCUGGUGUAGGUAGAAUACUCUCUCUCUGGUGUAGGUAGAAUCCUCUCUCUUGUGUAGGUAGAAUCCUCUCUCUAAUCUCUCUGGUGUAGGUAGAAUCCUCUCUCUCUGGUGUAGGUAGAAUCCUCUCUCUAAUCUCUCUGGAGUAGGUAGAAUACUCUCUCUCUGGUGUAGGUAGAAUCCUCUCUCUUGUGUAGGUAGAAUCCUCUCUCUAAUCUCUCUGGUGUAGGUAGAAUCCUCUCUCUCUGGUGUAGGUAGAAUACUCUCUCUAAUCUCUCUGGUGUAGGUAGAAUACUCUCUCAGUGUAGGUAGAAUCCUCUCUCUGGUGUAGGUAGAAUCCUCUCUCUAAUCUCUCUGGUGUAGGUAGAAUCCUCUCUCUAAUCUCUCUGGUGUAGGUAGACUAAUCUCUCUAAUCCUCUGGUGUAGGUAGAAUCCUCUCUCUAAUCUCUCUGGUGUAGGUAGAAUACUCUCUCUAAUCUCUCUGGUGUAGGUAGAAUCCUCUCUCUAAUCUCUCUGGUGUAGGUAGAAUCCUCUCUCUAAUCUCUCUGGUGUAGGUAGAAUACUCUCUCUAAUCUCUCUGGUGUAGGUAGAAUCCUCUCUCUAAUCUCUCUGGUGUAGGUAGAAUCCUCUCUCUAAUCUCUCUGGUGUAGGUAGAAUACUCUCUCUAAUCUCUCUGGUGUAGGUAGAAUCCUCUCUCUAAUCUCUCUGGUGUAGGUAGAAUCCUCUCUCUAAUCUCUCUGGUGUAGGUAGAAUACUCUCUCUAAUCUCUCUGGUGUAGGUAGAAUCCUCUCUCUAAUCUCUCUGGUGUAGGUAGAAUCCUCUCUCUAAUCUCUCUGGUGUAGGUAGAAUACUCUCUCUAAUCUCUCUGGUGUAGGUAGAAUACUCUCUCUAAUCUCUCUGGUGUAGGUAGAAUCCUCUCUCUAAUCUCUCAGGUGUAGGUAGAAUCCUCUCUCUCUGGUGUAGGUAGAAUACUCUCUCUAAUCUCUCUGGUGUAGGUAGAAUACUCUCUCAGUGUAGGUAGAAUGCUCUCUCUCUGGUGUAGGUAGAAUCCUCUCUCUAAUCUCUCUGGUGUAGGUAGAAUCCUCUCUCUCUGGUGUAGGUAGAAUACUCUCUCUAAUCUCUCUGGUGUAGGUAGAAUACU